AUUGAACGCUGGCGGCAGGCCUAACACAUGCAAGUCGAGCGGAUGAAGGGAGCUUGCUCCUGGAUUCAGCGGCGGACGGGUGAGUAAUGCCUAGGAAUCUACCUGGUAGUGGGGGAUAACGUCCGGAAACGGGCGCUAAUACCGCAUACGUCCUGAGGGAGAAAGUGGGGGAUCUUCGGACCUCACGCUAUCAGAUGAGCCUAGGUCGGAUUAGCUAGUUGGUGGGGUAAAGGCCUACCAAGGCGACGAUCCGUAACUGGUCUGAGAGGAUGAUCAGUCACACUGGAACUGAGACACGGUCCAGACUCCUACGGGAGGCAGCAGUGGGGAAUAUUGGACAAUGGGCGAAAGCCUGAUCCAGCCAUGCCGCGUGUGUGAAGAAGGUCUUCGGACUGUAAAGCACUUUAAGUUGGGAGGAAGGGCAGUAAGUUAAUACCUUGCUGUUUUGACGUUACCAACAGAAUAAGCACCGGCUAACUUCGUG
rnacentral:rRNA from 1 species